UACAGAGGGGGCAAGCGUUGUUCGGAAUUACUGGGCGUAAAGGGCGCGUAGGCGGCCUGCUAAGUGGAACGUGAAAUCCCCGGGCUCAACCCGGGAACUGCGUCCGAGACUGGCGGGCUUGAAUCCGGGAGAGGGAUGCGGAAUUCCAGGUGUAGCGGUGAAAUGCGUAGAUAUCUGGAGGAACACCGGUGGCGAAGGCGGCAUCCUGGACCGGCAUUGACGCUGAGGCGCGAAAGCCAGGGGAGCAAACGGG
rnacentral:rRNA from 1 species